rnacentral:tRNA from 1 species
GUGGGGCGGGCCGCGGGACGGUGAAGAGCUGCAGACACUUUCGGUGCGCUACCGGACCGUCGGCGACGGUUCGACCACCGGCGCUGUGCUC